rnacentral:rRNA from 1 species
GUGAGAUGCAGUGUAUGGAAUGUCAAAUUUCUAGUAUGAGAAAUUAACGAUUUAAGUCCUUCUUAAAUGAGGCCAUUUACCCAAAGAGGGUGCCAGGCCCGUAUAACGUUAAUGAUUACUAGAUGACAUUUCCAAAGAGUCGUGUUGCUUGAUAGUGCAGCACUAAGUGGGUGGUAAACUCCAUCUAAAACUAAAUAUAACCAUGAGACCGAUAGUAAACAAGUACCGUGAGGGAAAGUUGAAAAGAACUCUGAAUAGAGAGUUAAAUAGUACGUGAAACUGCUUAGAGGUUAAGCCCGAUGAACCUGAAUAUCCUUUAUGGAAAAUUCAUCAUUAUGAUUUUAAUAUUAAUAAUAUUAUAAUAAUGGUGUGCAUUUUUUCCAUAUAUGGACAUUGUAAUCUAUUAAUAUAAAAAACAAUAUUUAUUAUAAGAUCUUAAGCUUUUGUUUAUUCAAAUUAUUAUGCUUGCAUUUUAACAUAGAAUAAGUGCUUUUGAUUUGAUAAAGUGUUGAUAGAUUUAUUAUAUAUAGUGCUUGAAUAUUUNAUAUUCUAUAAUGGCAUAUUGAUCAUUGAUCUUUGUGUUUAUAUUAUAUGCACUUAUAUGAUUAACAAUGCGAAAGAUUCAGGAUACCUUCGGGACCCGUCUUGAAACACGGACCAAGGAGUCUAACAUAUUUGCAAGUUAUUGGGAAUUAAAAACCUAAUAGCGAAAUUAACAUAACUUAUAUAAUGGGAUUAGUUUUUAGUACUAUUUAUAGUCUAUUAAUUCAAUCCCGGGGCGUUCUAUACAGUUAUGUAUAAUAAUAUUUAUAUUAUUUAUACCUCUAACUAGAGCGUACCUUGAGCAUAUAUGCUGUGACCCGAAAGAUGGUGAACUAUACUUGAUCAGGUUGAAGUCAGGGGAAACCC